AAGAAAGUGCUUCCUUGUAGAGGGUUACCAUUUGAG
rnacentral:miRNA from 1 species